rnacentral:rRNA from 1 species
GGAGGAUCCAAGCGUUAUCCGGAAUCAUUGGGUUUAAAGGGUCUGUAGGCGGUCUUGUAAGUCAGUGGUGAAAGCCCAUCGCUCAACGGUGGAACGGCCAUUGAUACUGCUGGACUUGAAUUAUUGGGAAGCAACUAGAAUAUGUAGUGUAGCGGUGAAAUGCUUAGAGAUUACAUGGAAUACCAAUUGCGAAGGCAGGUUGCUACCAAUGGAUUGACGCUGAUGGACGAAAGCGUGGGUAGCGAACAGGAUUAGAUACCCUGGUAGUCCACGCCGUAAACGAUGGAUACUAGCUGUUGGGCGCAAGUUCAGUGGCUAAGCGAAAGUGAUAAGUAUCCCACCUGGGGAGUACGAACGCAAGUUUGAA